rnacentral:misc_RNA from 1 species
AUGAGGCCGAAUCGCCUGCAAUGGACGCACUCGUAGAAAGCAUCGUACAGAGCGAUGCACGGGCCGAGCUCACGGCAGGACAGCUGCAAGCCCUCAUUGGACUUUUCACCUCGACCUCUGAGGUCCUGUCGCCGUCCCACGCGCUCUUCCGAAAGCUCUCCGCCACCCUUGCGGCCUUCCCCUCCCUAGAAGACGGAUCCCAGUGCAUUCGACUCUGCAUCCUCCUCUGUAGAGAGGUAGCGCACCGCAAAAUCAUUUUCGCACUUAUCGAGGCGCACAACAUAUGGGUGGAGUCCAUCGCAGCACCGAGCAUCUCCGCCCUGGCGACGUCGCACGCGAGGCACCGCAGCGGGACCACGUACGAGACGAGCGAAGAUCGAAGCUUCCUAUCUCAGCUGGUUCUCGUCAUGUUGGUCUCGGCCGAGUCGAGGAUGAAGGCGUCUGAUCUCGUAGAUUUCCUCGGUGCUGACGUCGAGAGCACUGUGGAGGUACUGGUGUCCUGCUACGGAAGCGUGUGCGGGGCCCUUCCAGGAGUACUCGCCGCCGCCUCCGGAGGCUACCAGCUUCAUCUGGUCGCCCGCCUCGUCGAGCUCGUUCGCGAGCUCACGUUCUGGACUACGUACGAGGAACUGCACUCGAACCUGGGGAUCGGCAGCAAGGCAAAAAAGUCUCUCUCACAGUGCACCGGUAGCGUUUCCAUGAGCGCCCUCUCUGGCCCAUUCCGCUACCACGUCGGCCAGCUCAUCUCCCACCUUGUGAGGUACGACUUCUUUGCUCACAUGAGUAUGUACUUGCCGCACGUCUUGGGAAAAUAUUUGGCCUCGCCCAGCAGCUGCAGCAGCAGCGACGGUGACGAGCGGAAUGUGUUGAUGGCCUUGUCCUUGCUGCGCAACCAUCUCCUGCUUCUCCAAACCCUGCUGAUGCUGACGGACCAGUAUGCGCUUGUUCUGCGCAAGGCGCUCUGCCGCUGCGGGCUCCUCAGCAAGGUAUGCGGCCCUCUCCUGCGCGUCUUGUGUAGACCACAAGGAUGUCUACCUGGCGAAUUGUCUCUGUUCGUGCAGACGGUGGCGGUCGCGUCAACGCUGACUUACCACAGCAGUGAGUGUCACCAGUUCUGGGGAGAGAACAGCAGUGUGCUGGUGGCAGCCGCAGACCGCUCCGCUGUUACUCUAGCAGAUAGCUGCAUUGCAGACCCGCGCACAUCUGCCGAGCUAGUGGCACAGCUGGUGCGCCUCGUCGUAAACUCUCGCUCCAGCGCCGCGGUGGCGCCGUUACUCAAGACAUGGGAGAGCGUCCUCGACUCCGGUGGCAAACAGUGCGUUGCUUGCAGCCUCAGCAAUCCCAAGAGUCGUAGCCGUCCGCUUGACAUCAGCAGUCCAUCAUACAAUUCACUGCGGUGCGUAUUUCGCGUGGACACCACAGCCCCACCGCCACCGCCUGCCGCCGCGCGGCGUGGCAGUGUCGGCGACCUGCUUCGUCAACGACGAAGAGGUCGACACAACCGAGAGCAGCGAAACUUGAGCCGCGGUCGCAGCCGUGGCAGAGCGCGCUCAAAGAGACGCCGCCGCCACGAGUCACAACAAGCGCGUCUUCAGCAACGCUAUCACCUCCUGGUGCAGUGCACAACACCCACGACUGCGGUGGCGCGGGAACAGACUCAGGUGCAGCUCGUCCCCCUUGAUUUCGUCAGUGAUGCCUCCUCCGACGAGAGCAGCGACGACAGAGACGAUGCGGCAGACGCUUACGAGUCGACUUGUGCUCCCCAGGUGGACCUCUCACGCUGGCGGAGAGGCCCACCGCCGACGACGAUUCCCACACAAUACAUCUGUUCUCUCUCCCACUCAUUGAUACGCUCGGCCCCGGUGUUGUCGUCCACCGGCUACCUCUUCGACGAAGACGUCAUUGUAGACUACUUGCAGUACUACGACGUCUGCCCCAUCUCUGGAGCGUCGAUGUCGCGUGCCGACUUGGUCGUGGACACGGCGCUCAAGGAGGAACUUGGGAAGGUUCGAGCCAACUUUAUGUAGCAGUUCAAUUUGUUCACAUGCAGGAGGUUUGUGGGCGUGUGGGAGUCUGCGCGCUGAGGCGCAAGUGGUGCCAGAAGUAGUGCGGGUAGACGUACGUAAACACCUACACACGCAUACCCCUUGCAGCGCUUCUCGACUUGCUACCCAGAGACACACGUCACUGCUCCUUUUUCUCUCUCGACAAACUCUGACCAUCAGCACCGCUGCGAUUUCGCCCAUCCGCACCACCUCUGCCAGGCCUUUUUUCUUUCGUACUGGGAUGAGGGGCGAUGCCCUGUCAAUGU